UUAAGCGACUAAGCGUACACGGUGGAUGCCCUGGCAGUCAGAGGCGAUGAAGGACGUGCUAAUCUGCGAUAAGCGUCGGUAAGGUGAUAUGAACCGUUAUAACCGGCGAUUUCCGAAUGGGGAAACCCAGUGUGAUUCGUCACACUAUCAUUAACUGAAUCCAUAGGUUAAUGAGGCGAACCGGGGGAACUGAAACAUCUAAGUACCCCGAGGAAAAGAAAUCAACCGAGAUUCCCCCAGUAGCGGCGAGCGAACGGGGAGCAGCCCAGAGCCUGAAUCAGUGUGUGUGUUAGUGGAAGCGUCUGGAAAGGCGCGCGAUACAGGGUGACAGCCCCGUACACAAAAAUGCACAUACUGUGAGCUCGAUGAGUAGGGCGGGACACGUGGUAUCCUGUCUGAAUAUGGGGGGACCAUCCUCCAAGGCUAAAUACUCCUGACUGACCGAUAGUGAACCAGUACCGUGAGGGAAAGGCGAAAAGAACCCCGGCGAGGGGAGUGAAAAAGAACCUGAAACCGUGUACGUACAAGCAGUGGGAGCCUCUUUAUGGGGUGACUGCGUACCUUUUGUAUAAUGGGUCAGCGACUUAUAUUCUGUAGCAAGGUUAACCGAAUAGGGGAGCCGAAGGGAAACCGAGUCUUAACUGGGCGUUAAGUUGCAGGGUAUAGACCCGAAACCCGGUGAUCUAGCCAUGGGCAGGUUGAAGGUUGGGUAACACUAACUGGAGGACCGAACCGACUAAUGUUGAAAAAUUAGCGGAUGACUUGUGGCUGGGGGUGAAAGGCCAAUCAAACCGGGAGAUAGCUGGUUCUCCCCGAAAGCUAUUUAGGUAGCGCCUCGUGAAUUCAUCUCCGGGGGUAGAGCACUGUUUCGGCAAGGGGGUCAUCCCGACUUACCAACCCGAUGCAAACUGCGAAUACCGGAGAAUGUUAUCACGGGAGACACACGGCGGGUGCUAACGUCCGUCGUGAAGAGGGAAACAACCCAGACCGCCAGCUAAGGUCCCAAAGUCAUGGUUAAGUGGGAAACGAUGUGGGAAGGCCCAGACAGCCAGGAUGUUGGCUUAGAAGCAGCCAUCAUUUAAAGAAAGCGUAAUAGCUCACUGGUCGAGUCGGCCUGCGCGGAAGAUGUAACGGGGCUAAACCAUGCACCGAAGCUGCGGCAGCGACACUAUGUGUUGUUGGGUAGGGGAGCGUUCUGUAAGCCUGUGAAGGUGUGCUGUGAGGUAUGCUGGAGGUAUCAGAAGUGCGAAUGCUGACAUAAGUAACGAUAAAGCGGGUGAAAAGCCCGCUCGCCGGAAGACCAAGGGUUCCUGUCCAACGUUAAUCGGGGCAGGGUGAGUCGACCCCUAAGGCGAGGCCGAAAGGCGUAGUCGAUGGGAAACAGGUUAAUAUUCCUGUACUUGGUGUUACUGCGAAGGGGGGACGGAGAAGGCUAUGUUGGCCGGGCGACGGUUGUCCCGGUUUAAGCGUGUAGGCUGGUUUUCCAGGCAAAUCCGGAAAAUCAAGGCUGAGGCGUGAUGACGAGGCACUACGGUGCUGAAGUAACAAAUGCCCUGCUUCCAGGAAAAGCCUCUAAGCAUCAGGUAACAUCAAAUCGUACCCCAAACCGACACAGGUGGUCAGGUAGAGAAUACCAAGGCGCUUGAGAGAACUCGGGUGAAGGAACUAGGCAAAAUGGUGCCGUAACUUCGGGAGAAGGCACGCUGAUAUGUAGGUGAAGUCCCUUGCGGAUGGAGCUGAAAUCAGUCGAAGAUACCAGCUGGCUGCAACUGUUUAUUAAAAACACAGCACUGUGCAAACACGAAAGUGGACGUAUACGGUGUGACGCCUGCCCGGUGCCGGAAGGUUAAUUGAUGGGGUUAGCGGUAACGCGAAGCUCUUGAUCGAAGCCCCGGUAAACGGCGGCCGUAACUAUAACGGUCCUAAGGUAGCGAAAUUCCUUGUCGGGUAAGUUCCGACCUGCACGAAUGGCGUAAUGAUGGCCAGGCUGUCUCCACCCGAGACUCAGUGAAAUUGAACUCGCUGUGAAGAUGCAGUGUACCCGCGGCAAGACGGAAAGACCCCGUGAACCUUUACUAUAGCUUGACACUGAACAUUGAGCCUUGAUGUGUAGGAUAGGUGGGAGGCUUUGAAGUGUGGACGCCAGUCUGCAUGGAGCCGACCUUGAAAUACCACCCUUUAAUGUUUGAUGUUCUAACGUUGGCCCCUGAUCGGGGUUGCGGACAGUGUCUGGUGGGUAGUUUGACUGGGGCGGUCUCCUCCUAAAGAGUAACGGAGGAGCACGAAGGUUGGCUAAUCCUGGUCGGACAUCAGGAGGUUAGUGCAAUGGCAUAAGCCAGCUUGACUGCGAGCGUGACGGCGCGAGCAGGUGCGAAAGCAGGUCAUAGUGAUCCGGUGGUUCUGAAUGGAAGGGCCAUCGCUCAACGGAUAAAAGGUACUCCGGGGAUAACAGGCUGAUACCGCCCAAGAGUUCAUAUCGACGGCGGUGUUUGGCACCUCGAUGUCGGCUCAUCACAUCCUGGGGCUGAAGUAGGUCCCAAGGGUAUGGCUGUUCGCCAUUUAAAGUGGUACGCGAGCUGGGUUUAGAACGUCGUGAGACAGUUCGGUCCCUAUCUGCCGUGGGCGCUGGAGAACUGAGGGGGGCUGCUCCUAGUACGAGAGGACCGGAGUGGACGCAUCACUGGUGUUCGGGUUGUCAUGCCAAUGGCACUGCCCGGUAGCUAAAUGCGGAAGAGAUAAGUGCUGAAAGCAUCUAAGCACGAAACUUGCCCCGAGAUGAGUUCUCCCUGACCCUUUAAGGGUCCUGAAGGAACGUUGAAGACGACGACGUUGAUAGGCCGGGUGUGUAAGCGCAGCGAUGCGUUGAGCUAACCGGUACUAAUGAACCGUGAGGCUUAACCU
rnacentral:rRNA from 1 species